AGCAGCCGCGGUAAUUCCAGCUCCAAUAGCGUAUAUUAAAGUUGUUGCAGUUAAAAGCUCGUAGUUGAACUUCGGGAUCAAUGGAUCGGUCAUGCCUUGGUAUGUACUGAUCAUAUUGGUUCUCACCUUCUAACGAACCAUAAUGUCAUUCAUUUGAUGUUAUGGGGAAUUAGGACUGUUACCUUGAAAAAUUAGAGUGUUUAAAGCAGGCUCACGCUUGAAUACAUUAGCAUGGAAUAAUGAAAUAGGACAUCGCAUUCUAUUUUGUUGGUUUCUAGGAUCGAUGUAAUGAUUAAUAGGGAUAGUGGGGGCAUUAGUAUUCAAUUGUCAGAGGUGGAAUUCUUGGAUUUAUUGAAGACUAACUACUGCGAAAGCAUUUGCCAAGGAUGUU
rnacentral:rRNA from 1 species